rnacentral:rRNA from 1 species
UUAACGCUGGCGGCGUGCCUAACACAUGCAAGUCGAGCGAAGAGUACCAGAAUAUCGGGCUCUUAGCGGCAGACGGGUGAGUAACACGUAAACUAUCUGCCCUCGAAUGGGAGACAACCUGGCGAAAGCCUGGCUAAUACCCCAUACAAUCCUCUGGAGGCAUCUCGAGGGGAUGAAAGGCCCGCAAGGGUCGUUCGAGGAGGAGUUUGCGGCCUAUCAGCUAGUUGGCGGUGUAACGGACCACCAAGGCUAUGACGGGUAGCCGAUCUAAAAGGAUGACCGGCCACAAGGGCACUGAGACACGGGCCCUACUCCUACGGGAGGCAGCAGUGGGGAAUUUUGGACAAUGGACGAAAGUCUGAUCCAGCGACGCCGCGUGAAGGACGAAGGUUUUCGGAUCGUAAACUUCUUUUGCAGGGGACGAAUACGCGCAAGCGUUUGACGGUACUCUGCGAAUAAGCCACGGCUAACUACGUGCCAGCAGCCGCGGUAAUACGUAGGUGGCGAGCGUUACUCGGAAUUACUAGGCGUAAAGCGCGUGUAGGCGGGAGCUUAAGUCUGCUGUUAAAUCUCAUAGCUCAACUAUGAAAUGCCGGCAGAUACUGGGCUUCUUGAAUUCGGUAGAGGUAACUGGAAUUCCAGGUGUAGCGGUGAAAUGCGUAGAUAUCUGGAAGAACGCCAAAGGCGAAGGCAGGUUACUGGGCCGCAAUUGACGCUGAGACGCGAAAGCGAGGGGAGCAAACAGGAUUAGAUACCCUGGUAGUCCUCGCCGUAAACGAUGUAGACCAGGUGUGGGAGGUAUCGACCCCUUCCGUGCCGACGCUAACGCAUAAGUCUACCGCC